UAGGGAAUCUUCCACAAUGGGCGCAAGCCUGAUGGAGCAACACCGCGUGAGUGAAGAAGGUUUUCGGAUCGUAAAACUCUGUUGGUAGAGAAGAACGUUGGUGAGAGUGGAAAGCUCAUCAAGUGACGGUAACUACCCAGAAAGGGACGGCUAACUACGUGCCUG
rnacentral:rRNA from 1 species